UCAUAUAGCAGGUUUGUGAUAUGAGCCAGUCACGACUCAAGAUGCAGGUCUAUUGCGACCUUUAACCAGCCGCCUCGGCAGUACUAUCAAUGAACGCUGCAUUAAUUAAAUGUUGCUUUUGGUUCGGAAGCUUAAGAUAAUGUUUACUUCUUAAAGGAGAUAGUUUUGUGUACUUGUAUACCUUCAAUCCGUCAUCUAUGAACACCACGACUAUCAGUACCUGAAACUGUUGGCGACACUCUUAACUGACUUGUUGGAUAUAAAUGAACCAAACAGUAGUUGUUUCUCAUCGAACAAUCUUUGAAAAAAUCAGUCCUUCAAGAUAAUGGAUUUUCUAUAGCAGUUCCUUGUUCAAAGUCUGCAUGAAACAGAUUUUAAAUGAACUAAUCAUUUGGUGAUCCAACACUCCGAGGUUGAAGGAAGAGGAGCUUUUCACCAACUUCUAGGAGGCUUCACAUUGACAAUAGGGAACCCAGUCGCUCAUGUAAAGGACAGUAUCGAUGUAAACAACUUCAAGGAGGUGUUUGACCAUAUUUUGCUCCAAGAUUUCAUAUUGAAUA